UUAUUAAUACCCCCAAAAGCACUUGAUAUUUAAUUAAACAAACCAUUUUUCCCCCUAAGUAUGGGCGACAGAAAAGAAACACUCAGAGCAAUAGAAAAGUACCGCAAGGGAAUGCUGAAAAAGAAAUGAAACAACUCAGCAAAGUUUAAAAAAGCAGAGACCAACACUCGUACCUUUUGCAUCAUGAUUUAGUCAGUAAAAAACAAGCAAAAGGUACUUUAGUUUGUCUCCCCGAAACUAAGUGAGCUACUCCAAGACAGCCUAAAAUAGGGCUAACCCGUCUCUGUGGCAAAAGAGUGGGACGAACUUAGAGUAGAGGUGAUAAACCUACCGAACUUAGUUAUAGCUGGUUGCCUGAGAAAUGAAUAGAAGUUCAGCUUUUUGGUUUCUCCCCUCAACCUGCUUAGCCACAACCAAGCCAAAGAAACCAAAAAAGUUAAUUAAAGGGGGUACAGCUCCUUUAAACAAGAUACAACUUCACCAGUUGGGUAAAGGUCAUAUACAAUCAAGGUAAGAUGUUUUAGUGGGCCUAAAAGCAGCCACCUAUAAGAAAGCGUCAAAGCUCCCUCAUACCACCACCUCCAAAUUCAGAUGAUACACCCUAAGCCCGCUAAUUUUAUCAAGCCGCCCCAUGCCACCAUGGGGGUGUUUAUGCUAAAAUGAGUAAUAAGAAAAGGCACCUUUUCUCCUUGCACUCGUGUAAAUCGAAACGGACCCCCCAUCGAACAUUAAUCGGCCCCAAAAAGAGGGUAAUGAAUUAUCAACCCCAGUAACAAGAAAAACACCCAAAUAUUAACCGUUAAUCUCACACUAAUAUGCUUACAAGGAAAGACUAAAAGAAAAAGAAGGAACUCGGCAAAUACAAGCCUCGCCUGUUUACCAAAAACAUCGCCUCUUGAAAACUAAGCAUAAGAGGUCC
rnacentral:rRNA from 1 species